rnacentral:lncRNA from 1 species
UUUUUUUUUUUUUUUAAGUGGAAGGAUACUAUUCAACCCAGGACAGAGCACUAAUCUCAUAAAAACUUCAUAUAUGUAAGGUGCUGGAAACAGUUGCGGGCACAUAAUACAUGCCACGGAAGAGUCAGCUCCCCUUCUUCCAUGUCUUUGGCAGAUGACAGCUGCCAUGGGACAUAAGAACGCUCUGUUACGUAGGAAUUCCGCUCCCUCUGUCUUGAGUCAAGAGUUCCUAAAAGAGCUGAUGAGGGCACAGGUAGACACAAUGUGUUUGUUACCAUUCAAUACCCCAGAUCAAUACCCUACCAAUAACUCAGGCUGGAGUGAGGAAAUAGCCACUACAAUCACUUCAUUUGUUUUUCAAAAACACAGAAUUUAUCAUUACAAACAAUGGACCCUUCAAAGCUGUCCUCAAACUAAGAUCCGUUUAGAAGGAGCCUCCAGAGAAGAGCCAGGGGAGAAGAGACACUAGCAAAUGCAGCAAUUUCACUGCUUAGAUAAGCUGUGAGUUUUGAUUCCAAACUGCUUUACAGAGCAUAUUCACCCCCCACAGCUUAGCAACUGAAUGACUGAGUCCAAACAUGAAAUUCAUUCUCUGAAAUGAGGAUUUGCUAUCUUUAGGAUAUCUUACUUUCAAAUUAGAGGAGGGGAAAAAAGAUUGAAGGCUCCUGCUCUUUCCUCUUUAAUAAAUAGGUCUAGGACAGUACCCAACUGAAAAGAAAUAGAGCCAGAUCUCAACUGCUAUCCUUGUAUCAAAAUAAAUUCCAGGGAUCCCUGGGUGGCGCAGCGGUUUAGCGCCUGCCUUUGGCCCAGGGCGCGAUCCUGGAGACCCGGGAUCGAAUCCCACGUCGGGCUCCCGGUGCAUGGAGCCUGCUUCUCCCUCUGCCUGUGUCUCUGCCUCUCUCUCUCUCUCUCUGUGACUAUCAUAAAUAAAUAAAAAUUUUUAAAAAAUAAAUAAAUAAAUAAAAAUAAAUUCCAGAUGGAUCCAAGACUUAAAGAUUUAAACACACACACACCAAGUACUCAAAGAAAAUGAAUAACUAUUUUUUAUAAUUUUGAGGUAGGGAAGCAUGCCCUUUCUUUUCUUUUUCUUUUUUUUUUUUUUAAGAUUUUAUUUAUUUAUUCAUAGAAACAGAGAGAGAAAGAGAGGGGCAGAGGCAGAAGCAGGCUCCAUGCAGGGAGUCCGACGUGGGACCCGAUCCAGGGUCCCCAGGAUCACACCCCAGGCUGCAGGCGGCGCUAAACCGCUGUGCUACCAGGGCUGCCCAGCAUGCCUUUUCUAAACACUGGCCUAGCAGCAGGAAAAACUAUAAGAAAAAAGAUUAUUUUGACUACCUAAAAAAACAAAACUUCCCAAGAGAAAAAAAAAUUGCAUAAAUACAGUCAAAAGACAAAAAUGACAAACUAGGAGCAAUUCUGCACUAUAUAUAAUUGUCAACACUUCAGCUCUUACAAAUUAUUAAGAAAAUAUUACUGGGAAAACAUGCAAAAGACAUGAGUAAGUGACUCAAAAAAUAUAUAAAUGUCCAACAUACAUUUGAGAAGAUGUUGAAUCUUUAAUAUAAAAAAGAAAUAUAGGGAUCCCUGGGCGGCUCAGCGGUUUAGCGCCUGCCUUUAGCCCAGGGCGUGAUCCUGGAGUCCCGGGAUCGAGUCCCACGUCAGCUCCCUGCAUGGAGCCAGAAUUCUCCCUCUGCCUGUGCCUCUGCCUCUCUCUCUCUCUCUGUGUGUCUCUCAUGAAUAAAUAAAUAAAAUCAUAAAAAAAGAAAUAUUAAUUAAAUUAUACUUAUUGAGUGACAUUCCAUCACUAUUUGAAGCAUUUUACUUAGAUUAACUGACUUAUUCUUCCAGAAACAGGUGCUAUCAUUAUGCUUACCUUAUCAAAGAUGAAACUGAGAGAGAAAUUAAAUGACUUACCCAAGGUCACACAGUAAGUGGCUGCAUCAGAAUUCAGGCCCCCCCCCCAAAAAAAAAAGAAUUCAGGCCCCAGCAAACUGGCUCCAGAGUCACAUACCAUAUCACAUCACAGCUAUCAGAGUCACCUGCUCAACUACCAUAUUAUAGUGACAAGACCACUUUUCACCUGUUAGAUGAGGAAGAUGAAAAACAUACAACCAGUAUUUUUAUUUUUUAAGAUUUUAUUUAUUUAUUCAUGAGAGAGAGAGAGAGAGAAUGAGAAAGGCAGAGACACAGGCAGAGGGAGAAGCAGGCUCCAUGCCGGGAGCCUGACAUGGGACCAGAUCCCCAGACUCCAUCCUGAGCCCCCAGGAUCACGCCCUGGGCCAAAGGUGGCGCUAAACCACUGAGCCACCCAGGCUGCCCACAACCUAGUAUUAUUGGCAAUGUAGGCAAUCUCAUGUGCUACUGGUAGAAGUUAACAUCAUAAAGGUAGUUGGUUCCAUGAAUCGUCAUUUUGAACAUGCAUAUCCUUUAACUCAGCCAUUCUAGUUCUUAGAAUUUAUCCUAAAGAGAUAAGUAGACAAAUGCACAAAGAUUAUAUACAGGGUGUUUAUCACAGAAUGCACACAAUAACAAAAAUACUACAAAUAGGGCCACCUGGCUAGCUCAGUCGAUAGAGUGUGCUCUAUCUCAGGGUCCUGAGUCUGAGCCCCACAUUGUGUGCAGAGAUUACUUAAAAAAAAAAAAAAAUACUGCAAAUAAAAAGCCCAACAAAUACACCAAAAGUCCAAGAAAUUCAUUCAUUCAACAAAUAUUUAUUGAAUAUCAACUGUGUACCAGGAACUGUUCUAUGUCACAGCUACAGAGCAGUGAAUAAAAAAAGAAGGAAAAAAAUUUGUCUUCAUGGAGCCUACAUUCUAAUGUAAGGUGUUGGCAAUAAACAAGAAAAGUAUAUAGUAUAUCAAGUGGUGUUAAACGCUACAGAGAAAAAUAAAGGAGGGAAGGGAGAUAGAAAUCCACCUACACCUACAAAUUCUUUAACUCUCCCCUUCCUUCCUCAUCCUUCUUCCUCCUCUUUUCAGAAGCCAGGCCAGUAAUAGGGAGAAAAGGAUAAAAGCCUAAGAUCAAGGCAAGCUGAUGGGGCCUAAGAAGGAUGGAGGGAAACCCCCAUAGAACUGGAUGGGAUUCCUCUUACUUCACCACAUGAGAAACAAUAGAUCCUGGGAUGCACGCUUCCUCCCUGCAGAUCUGUGAGAUCUGAAACAAAGCCAUCUGAUUCAGAUUCCCUGUUUCAUCUCCUAAAAACCCCAAGUGCCCUGCAGGGUAGGUUAAAACUGAGUCGCAAAGGGAAGUGACUAACCACAGCAGGCCAGAGCUCUGCCCCCAGCACACAAGUGCCUGUAUUUUCCUAGGAGCAGUAAAUGACACAGGGCUGAGCCCAUUUUACUCCCUACCUUAUCCCUUACUCCAUGUCUGCACCCAACAAGCUACCCUGGGUAAGUUAAACUCAUGCCCAAACCCAUACACUCACCACCUUGUAUGACUAGUCUAGAGAUUUAGUCGUCCCCACUAAGAUUCUUAAGCCUAAGUCCCUACCAAGAAAGUUGCCCAAGAUGACUUUUUCAGUCUGGGGUAAGGUUUUGAGUAGCCUGGUGGACAGGAUCCAAAUAUAUUUGCUCUCAGAUACGUGGAAGCCAAUUACACUUCUUGCCUGAGCACAAAGCCACUAACAAGGAAUUGGCAACUUCCCAAAGGUGGAGCCCAUGCUGCUAACCCCUAUUUAGCCUAAGGGUAGGAGGCACGUGAACAGAGGAGGGGACCUAAGGAAAGAGUGAACAGUUUCAAAAUAUUUCUUACAUACUCUCUGCCACUUCUUGGACACCAACAAUAACACCCUGUGUUAUGAGUUUUUAUAUACUAUCAUCAAAAAUGACAAAUCACUUUAGUCAAACAUUCCUACCAUAUGCUACUAAAUUUAGGAAGUCCAUGGCAUCCAGAGGGUCCAGCUGCCCUGCUGACAGUUGAAUACCCAGGCUUGACAUUAGAAAGAGGUCAGAAAUCUGAGACUGUCCUCAAUCUCAGGGCUGCAACACAGACAUCUCAUUACACACCAGCACACACCAGCACACACCAGCUUCUUCUCUCUCCUGGGCUUCCAGCAGGGAAUAUCCGUCCAAUCCACAUACCAUAUCCACAUACACACACCCGAAAUCCUCCAACACGCUUAGUCUACAAACGGAAGAAAUUCUUCACUAGUAAAGAGUACAAGAUGAGUCAGAGAAAAUCCAAAAGCAAUCAUCUCUUUGGCAGAGGAGCCUCUCUCUCUACCUCUCUUUUAUCUUCCUUGAACACGUAGUUACUGAGAAACUUCUAUUAUGCUUGUCACUAUAAGAUAGAACCAUAAGACAUGCCUCCCACCUUCAAGAAUUUACUCCAUUUGGAAAGACAAAAUCAGUGCAGCCCCGGGUGGCUCAGCGGUUUAGUGCCACCUUCGGCCCAGGACGUGGUCCUGGAGCCCCGGGAUCAAGUCCCACGUUGGGCUCCCCGCAGGGAGCCUGCUUCUUCCUCUGCCUGUGUCUCUGCCUCUCUCUGUGUCUCUCAUGAAUAAAUAAAUAAAAUCUUUUUUUAAAAUGACAAAAUCAACACACAGGAAACAUAUUAUAAAAGGGGGCUCCAAGAUUUCUAGUGCAUGGAACAGGAAGAACAGAGAGACGAAUAGUGGGGCAUCCUGACAUAUGCAGGUAUCUUCAAUUUCAAACACAAUCUCCCCCUUUUUUGGUUCCAUUCUCAGUAGAAAGAGGUUUCAUUUCAAGAAAAAUCUCAUAUACCAAAAUCCAAAUA